UACAGCCUGUUCCACGAUGUCGAAAGAACACGUUCGCACAACUUUUACACGACAAACAGCUGAUUUCCGUUCCACUAAAAUCCAUCAGAACGAAAAUUUGCACGAAAAUCAAAGCGAACGAAAACGUAAGCGUUUCAGUGUAAUUUUGCGUUCCACUAUCUUUUUUCUUUCGUACGCAUGCGAACACAAAUGUCAAAAUCAGUCACUUGUGUGUUUGCUGUCGAAUGAUAAAAAUUAAGGAAAAUUGUUUUAACAUAAACAUUCCUUGAUUGAAAAUGGAAAGAAAAAUCACGAAAAAACUACACAGCUGCGGGCACUAGUUGAGUAUAUGGGGGAGAAUCCUAAGUUCGCCAGAGGAGUGCCAAUUUUUGGAAGCAGCAGGCAAUCCCAUGAAGACCACUGGAAGACACAAACCUAGAAAAAAUCAUUUUUUUAUUAUUUCAAAAAUGUAAAAAUACAAUCAUACUUACUGGUUGUUAGGUACUUCAAAUAAAUUCGAAGCAUCUCUUAAA